GCAAGGGCGGCUGGGUCAGUCCGCCCCCGCGCAAGGGCGACUGGGUAAGCCCGCCCCCGUGCAAGGGCGAAUGGGGUGUCCCCCAGGCCCUGAGCUGGGCGACGCCC
rnacentral:ribozyme from 1 species